AACGAGUGACAUUGUGUUAAAUUCGGUAUUAAGAUUUGUCUCUGGGCACAACUGUAACGCGAUGAAUCUUCAGCAAAUGAGCAAAGCACGAUAUAACUUGCAAACUUCCCAAACGACCACCAAUGCAAUUUUGAGCUCCAUCACCAAAUGGUCUUCAAAUGUUUAUGUUUUUACUUGAACUGUUAUUCUCUGGUCGAUAUGACAGGAAACUUAGCAAAAGAGUGUUGCCACUCUGACAGCUUUGUCAUGGAGGGAAUAUAAGCUUGCCACCUUGUGCUUAUCAUCUGUUUUAGUAAGCAACGCAAAUGACCGUUAUAUUCAAUAUUUUGAAUAUGGUGAUGGUAAUGAAAAGGAAAAAUCUGUCAGAUAAAUCUGGAGAAAAGGAUGACGAUAUAAAAGCAUGAUUGAGACCAAACAGCAAAAGGUGUGUUUCAGCUCCUUGAUGCCAAAUAUAUUGUUACUUGCGAAGUUCUCUUCCCAUCUACAACUGCAAGAAAAUAUAUCGAAACUACUUACCCCCUUUAAAGUGACGUAAAAUGUACUCAUGAGGAAUCGCCCAAAGGACCUUAGAAAUGCUAUACAUUAUAGGAAUAAACCAAGGACACUAAGGUUCAUCCCGGCCGAACUUGAAGUGGUUUUUAUUUUUUACCUCUUAUUUACCAUUAC
rnacentral:sRNA from 1 species